rnacentral:lncRNA from 1 species
UUACAUUAUAAAGCAACUACACAAUCAAGUUUGCAUAGCCACCAGCUAACAAUACAAUGACAGGAACAAAUCUGCACAUAGUAAUAUUAACCUUGAGUAUAAAUGGGUUAAAUGCCCCACUUAAAAGGCACACAGUGGCAAUUUGGAUAAAGAAGCAAGACUCAACUCUAUGCUAUCUUCAAGAUACCCAUCUCAUAUGCAGUGACACCCAUAGGCUCAAAAUAAAGGGAUGGAGAAAAAUCUACCAAGCAAAGGAAAAACAGAGAGAAGAGUAGGGGUUGCUAUUCUUAUUUCAGACAAAACAGACCUUAAACCAACAAUGAUAAAAAAAGACAAGGGCAUUAUAUAAUGAUAAAGGGUUUAAUUCCACAGGAAGACUUAAUUAUCCUAAAUAUAUAUGCAGCCAAUACUGAAGCACUCAGAUUUAUAAGACAAGUUCUUAAAGACCUUGAUUCCACAAAGAGACUUAGAUUCCCACAAAAUAAUAGUGGGACACUAAAACACCCCACUGACAGUGUUAGACAGAUCAUUGAGGCAGAGAAUUAACAAAGAUAUUCAGGACCUAAACUUGACACUUGAACAAAUGGACCUGACAGACAUCUGCAGCACACUCCACCCAACAACAACAGAAUAUACAUUCUUCUCAUCUGCACAUGGCAUAUAGACUAAAAUGAACCACAUCUUGACCAUAAAGCAAUUCUCAACAAAUUCAAAAAUAAAAUCAUACCAACCUACACUCUCGGACCACAGUGCAAUGAAAAUAGAAAUCAAUAGUGAAAAGAUAUUUCAAAAUUAUACAAUUACAUGGAAAUUAAACAACCUUCUCCUUAAUGGCUUUUGGCUAAGCAAUGAAAUUAAGGCAGAAAUCAAGAAAUUCUUUGAAAAUAAUGAAAACAAAAGUACAACAUACCAGAAUCUCUGGGACAUGGUGAAAGCAGUGUUAAGAGGAAAAUGUACAGUGCUAAAUGCUGACAUUAAAAUUGCCAAUCCAAUUACCUCCACCUGGUCCUGCCCUUGACACAUGGGGAUCAUGGGGAUUACAAUUCAAGGUGAGGUUUGGGUGGGAACACAGAUCCAAACCAUAUCAGCACUGGUACAAAAACAAAAACACAAAUAAUCUCAAAUAAACAAUCUAACAUUAUACCAAGAGGAUGUAGAAAAACAAGAGCAAACCAACCCAAAAGAUAGAAGGAGAAAAGAAAUAACCAAAAUCAGAACUUAACAAAGUUAAUGUGCAAAAUACAUACAAUUGUUUUCAAACAUCAAUGAAACCAAACGUUGGUUUUCUGAAAAAAUAAAUAAGAUUGAAAGAGUGCUUGCUAGACUUACAAAAAAAGAGAGAAGAUCUAAAUAAAGACAAUCGGAAAUGACCAAAGGGACAUUACCAUCAACCCCACAGAAAUAUAAAAAACCCUCAAAGACUAAAUGAACACUUCUGUGCACAUAAACUAGAAAACCUAGAAGGAAUGGAUAAAUUCUGGGAAACGUACAACCUCUCAAGAUUAAACCUGGAAAAAAUUGAAACCCUGAACAGACCAUUAAUGAGUUCCAAAAUUGAAUCAGUAACAAAAACCUGUCAAACAGAAAAAGCCUUAGAUUAGAUGGAUUCACAGCUGAAUUCUACCAUAUGUAAAAAACAAAAGGUAUUACCAAUCCUACUGAAACUAUUC